GACGAACGCUGGCGGCGUGCUUAACACAUGCAAGUCGAACGGAAAGGCCCUGCUUUUGUGGGGUGCUCGAGUGGCGCACGGGUGAGUAACACGGGAGUAACCUGCCCUUUACUUUGGGAUAACUUCAGGAAACUGGGGCUAAUACCGGAUAGGAGCUCCUGCUGCAUGGUGGGGGUUGGAAAGUUUCGGCGGUUGGGGAUGGACUCGCGGCUUAUCAGCUUGUUGGUGGGGUAGUGGCUUACCAAGGCUUUGACGGGUAGCCGGCCUGAGAGGGUGACCGGCCACAUUGGGACUGAGGUACGGCCCAGACUCCUACGGGAGGCAGCAGUGGGGAAUAUUGCACAAUGGGCGGAAGCCUGAUGCAGCAACGCCGCGUGCGGGAUGACGGCCUUCGGGUUGUAAAGCGCUUUAGCCUGUGACGAAGCGUGAGUGACGGUAAUGGGUAAAGAAGCACCGGCUAACUACGUG
rnacentral:rRNA from 1 species